UUUACGAGUUAGGAAGUUUCUGUAAUACGGCCCAAGCCUCCCUUGUCCGUGCUGGGACAUCAGGAGGCUUGCCAUGCUGGUGCAUUGCGGCCUUACCAAGUCCUUGGGGACCUCUCUCCAGGUAGGAUUGGUUGCCGAUGAAUGUAUGGUGGAGGAGCACUGGCUGAGGGCGUCUUCUCUCUUGUCUCUGUUGAAGGGCCCUAAUGUGCUCGUCUCCAUCCUGUGGGAGGUUGUCGAGGCCCUGCUGGCCCGGUACCAUUCAGACCGCCCUGAGGAAUCCUCCAUCCCCACCCAAGGUAACAGCUUCAAACAAAGUGUUCUAAUUAUCAAUAAAUCCUUAUUCAAAGAAAUUCAAGAAGUUGAAAGGCAAUUUUUGUUAUGCCAGUUUAAUUAAACAACUUUAGCAAUUGUAGAAUAUAUCUCUUUAAUACUUACCAUAGUGAAAUUCAUUUCUGCACCAUUCGAGGAGCCCUUAACUAUGUGUUGGAUUGUAUUCAUAUGUUGAUGUCUUGGACUCUCUUAGUUCCCAGGGUGAUGCAGGAGAGGCAGGAGAUGGAGGAAAAGCUGCUCAGCCAGAGGCUUCCUGAGCAGCUCAGGGAGCAACUCCACGGGACGUUUGGCACGUGGGUCCAACACGGCAAACUCUUUGGCAGGGCUCUCCCAAUGAUGAGCACCGCAGAGCAGGACCUCAGAGGAGGGGACGCAGCCGUCCUCAGCAACACUCUGGCUGACGACCCUGUCGCUCUGGACCCCAGUCUGGACGCCCCUCAGAAGGAGCAGCCCGACAGCCCCAGUCGUUGUGAUCCGUCUGUGAUGGAGAACAGUAGCUGUGGACCUGUCGCUGGAGAUCCCCUUCCUCCAGCAGCUCAGCCGGAGAACGGAGAGUCUAACUCCGUCUCCACAACCGACCCGGUUGUGAUCCAGCGGUCCACCGUUGGAUUCGUGGCCCAGCUGUUCAGAGGCCGGGACGAAAUGUCCUCCCCGUCCUACAUCGACCGGUACCGGGCCUUCCAGAACCUGGUUGUCCGGGAAGUCCACCUCCUGCUGCAGGAGGAGGCCACCAUGAACCAGGACAACCCUGGGUUUGAGCGGACCCUGGAGCACCUGAAGGACCCUGUGCAGGAGGUCUGCUUUAGGUUUAGUUAUAAAACCAAACAACAAAUUCAAUUUGUUUAAAAAGGAAAGAAACUGUAAAGUACAACGGUUCGCUCUCUAUCACAUCCAUGCAUUGUUAACCUGCAUGGAUUUCCUAAUUUAAUAAAUGCCUGCAAUGUGAAGUUGGCAAUUUGCUUAGAAAAGUAAUAAAAUUCAUAAAACAUGACUUAAUGAUAAUAAUAAUACAUUUAAUUUAAAGGGUGCCUUUCAAGACACCCAAGGUCACCUUACAGAGCAUAAAGUUAUCAUAAAUCGUUUACAAACAAGACAUUGUAGAAAAAUAAUAAUAAUAAAUUAAUUAAUUAAUUAAUAAAUAAAACAAAAACAAGACAAACCAAACAAUCAAGACAGUGAUCAGUUAGACGUUGUAUGCGAGUUUGAACAGGUGAGUUUUGAGUUGUGACUUGAAGGUUGUAAUGGUGUCUGACUGUUUUAUGUGUGGGGGGAGGGAGUUCCAGAGCCUGGGUGCUGAACAGCUGAACAGUUUGUUACCGGUCCCAAGUGGCCAGGACGGUGGUAACAAAAAGAUUGUUGAGACCGGACUCCCUGAAAAGCAGGUAUACAUGUAUUACAAGGACUGAAGCAGCACUGCUUUUGUUUGGUCUUCGAAAUCCGUCAUACUCAUGAUCAUUCAAGAUGUAAUUUGUGAUGAUCAAAUGAUGUACAGUAUAUUGUGGUCCUGUUUUAUGUAGAAAGGAGGACUUGGUCAAAUGCAUAGAAUACUUGUAUAGAAAUGUGAUUUUAUAAUUUGGAUAGAAGGAUUAAAGUUCAGGUCAUUCAACAGGAGAAACUGGGUCUGCAGCUUCGCUGGGUCCUUGAGGAUAGGCUGAGAGAGGCCUUGCCCGGCGUGUGCCUGUCCAGGGACGGGCUCAUGAAGGACCCCCCGAACACCCUGCUGGCCUGCUCCCUGAUCGCCACAGAGGUCCUUGAUCACCUGAAGACCUCUGUGAGCUCUCCUGACUACAACAAUGAGGCAGAGGAGUGUCUUCACGGGGAACAGUUGUUGGCCCCCGCUAAGAUCAGUCAUCUCAGAUCCUGGUGUAACAGUCCUUCACAAAGGCCCUUACGUGGUGGGCUACACACAAAGAAAUGUUUAAGAUA
ensembl:lncRNA